rnacentral:ribozyme from 1 species
GAUCUAAAAUAAAAAGUGUCGCGCCUGCCGUCUCGGGCGCAAAAUAAAUCAAUAAAAAUACCAACAAAAACCCUUGUUUUGAAGACCAGCCACCGAAACAUAGCAAAAAAAAUCGGCCGGCCUUCGGCCAGCAUGAGGUCUCAGGAGG